CCAGCGGAUAUCGCUGGACCGAGUCUACCCAUCUCUCUCGAUCCACCAUGAUUUUUCUGCUAUCGCGCUCAUCCGGGUGUUAGGAAUCCUCAGUCUGUCCAGAACUUUCGUUGUGGAAGGAUGUACUGAAGUGAGGUGCGAUUUCUUGUGCAACGUACUUUGCUCAUUUACGUUUUGUGCCGUGUUCCUUCUUCCUCAGUUAUGGAAUGAUUUAUCCUAGCAAAUUGUUGAGGUGUGUGCGCUAUUUAUCAACGACUACCUGCUAGCCUCGUCAACAAUCUUCAAAGUGAGCGACGGAAAGAAAACGUUUUCCAGUUUUAAAAUAUUAAGCCCCCGGUGAGGACGUCAUUACUUAACAGAAGCCGGUUCAACACGCGCAGCAUGGAUGGUACCACGAGCGCAGUAGGAGGAAGGAAGAACGAGAGGAGGAAGAACGGUAAAUUUGGAAGGGGGUAAGCGUUCUGCCGUCUACACAGCGGGAGUAUCCCAAAACACAUGUGGGAAGGGAGAGGGAUAUUAUUCAAUAAACAGCAUGCGAAUGUGUGCAUAAAGCAAA